rnacentral:miRNA from 1 species
UGGCUUAAUCUCAGCUGGCAACUGUGAGAUGUUCAUAGAAUUCCUCACAGUGGUCUCUGGGAUUAUGCUAA